AGGGCGGGGGCUCCGUCUCCGGCCUCCGCCUCCCGCGGCGUCCACACUCGCGGCGGCCGGGCUGGACCUCGCUGGCCCGCGGCGCCAUGAGCCGCAGUCUGGACGCCGCGCGGAGCUUCCUGGAGCGGCUGGAGGCGCGGGGCGGCCGGGAGGGGGCCGUCCUCGCCGGCGAGUUCAGAGACAUCCAGGCCCGCUCGGCCGCCUGGAAGGCUGAUGGCAUGUGCUCCACCAAGGCAGGCAGUCGGCCAGAGAACAUGAGGAAGAACCGCUACAAAGACGUGCUGCCAUAUGAUCAGACGCGAGUAGUCCUCUCCCUGCUCCAGGAAGAGGGACAAAGCGACUACAUUAAUGGCAACUUCAUCCGGGGCGUGGAUGGAAGCCUGGCCUACAUUGCCACUCAAGGACCCUUGCCUCACACCCUGCUAGACUUCUGGAGACUGGUCUGGGAGUUUGGGGUCAAGGUGAUCCUGAUGGCCUGCCGGGAGAUAGAGAACGGGCGGAAAAGGUGUGAGCGGUACUGGGCCCAGGAGCAGGAGCCACUGCAGACUGGGCUUUUCUGCAUCACUCUGAUUAAGGAGAAGUGGCUGAAUGAGGACAUCAUGCUGAGGACCCUCAAGGUCACAUUCCAGAAGGAGUCCCGUUCUGUGUCCCAGCUACAGUAUAUGUCCUGGCCAGACCGUGGGGUCCCCAGCAGUCCUGACCACAUGCUUGCCAUGGUGGAGGAAGCCCGUCGCCUCCAGGGAUCUGGCCCUGAACCCCUCUGUGUCCACUGCAGUGCGGGCUGUGGGCGAACAGGUGUCCUGUGCACCGUGGAUUAUGUGAGGCAGCUGCUCCUGACCCAGAUGAUCCCAUCUGACUUCAGCCUCUUUGAUGUGGUCCUUGAGAUGAGGAAGCAGCGGCCUGCGGCCGUGCAGACAGAGGAGCAGUACAGGUUCCUGUACCACACGGUGGCCCAGAUGUUCUGCUCCACGCUCCAGAAUGCCAGCCCCCACUACCAGAACAUCAAAGAGAAUUGUGCCCCACUCUACGACGAUGCCCUCUUCCUCCGGACUCCCCAGGCACUUCUCGCCAUACCCCGCCCACCAGGAGGCGUCCUCAGGAGCAUCUCGGUGCCCGGGUCCCCGGGCCACGCCAUGGCUGACACCUACGCGGUGGUGCAGAAGCGCGGGGCUCCAGCGGGCGCCGGGCCGGGGCCGGAGACCGGGACGGGGGCGCGCAGCGCGGAGGAGGUGCCGCUCUACAGCCAGGUGACGCCGCGCGCCCAGCGGCCCGGGGGGCACGCGGAAGACGUGCGGGGCACGGUGCCUGGCCGCGUUCCUGCUGACCCAAGUCCUGCCGCAUCUGGCGCCUACGAGGACGUGGCGGGUGGAGCUCAGACCGGUGGGCUAGGUUUCAACCUGCGCAUUGGGAGGCCGAAGGGGCCCCGGGACCCCCCUGCUGAGUGGACCCGGGUGUGAGUCUGCGCCAGCUCCUGCCUGUUGCCUCGUGUGAGCUCGGACUGCUGUGUGCAGAAUGGAAACAGUGCGCCUGAAUCAAAAUAAAAGUUUCUCAGGGUGGGAAAUGCGGGGGCUUUGCCCCAGUGACUGUAGCAUUCAAGGCUUGAGGCUGGAGGAGGUAGGUUUGGUAUAAUGGCUGGUGAGGCUGCACGGAGCACAUUCAAGAAAGAAGAUCGGGAAGGGGCAUGGCCCCUGAGUUAUGAAGGGGAGAAUGGACAGAUGAGCUUCCAGAGACUGCUCGCCUUACCACAUAACACACUAGUCCAUCCUCAGCACCUGAGCCUGCCUCACUUGAACACUCAGGGGACCACACAGAGAAAUGGAUGGACCCCUCGCCAUCCAGGCAGACCGAUAAAAAGACCUCCAGAUAGGCAGACAGAUGGGUGGACCACCAAGCUGGACAGACAGCCAAACCUUCAGAGAUACAGUCCACAGGUGAACAAAGGGACCCCCAGCCAGAGAGACCACCAAACAGAGCCCCCAAAAGACAGACACCUCUGCCAGCUGGACAGCCAGGUGGACCCCUAAGUUAGAGAGAUGUAAACAGAUCCCCAGCUGAACAGACACACAGACUUCUCAGACCCUACCCCCAUCCCCCAGGUGGGCUGGCUGGCUGAAAAGACCUUCUGGCCAGACAGACUCCUAACCAACCAGAUGGACUGCCAGACAGACAGACAUCAGCCACAUGGAAUCCUGACAUCCCAGCCAGCCAGCCAGACUCUGAUCUUGAUGGGUGAACCCGUUGGUUGGUCAGACGUGAUCCUCCAGAUUGACAGAGAAGUCCCCCAAAUGAGUACAUAUCUCCAGCUAUUCAGACAGAUGGACCCCCAGCAAAUCAGGCCCUAUCUAGACCCCAGCCAAACAUACCCCCAACCAGACUGACCCCUUGCUGUUCACACAGCCUCCCGAGUAGCUGGGACUACAGGUCUAAUUUUUUUUUUUAUUUUUUAGAGAUGAGUUUGCCAUGUUGCCCAGGCUAGUCUCGAACUCCUGAGCUAAAGCAAUCCUCCUUCCUUAGCCUCCCAAAGUGCUGAGAUUAUAGGUGUGAGCCACCAGGCUCUGCCCUCUAAGAUUUGAAACACUUUAAAUGGCCCUAGCAGGUUUUAUCCUGCUAGGAUAAAACAUUAAGCAGCUGUUAAAAAAAUAAAAAAUAAAAAAGAGGAACCGCCUCUGUGCACUGGUGUGGACAAAUCUCCAAGUCACUGCAAAAUGGAAAAAUAUAAGAUGCUCUCUCCUGGAACCUCAAGGGUCCUGCCCCUCUCACCUUCAGGUCUCUGGACCUCUGACUGACACUGUGCCUGCCCAGGUCCCUGUCUGUACCGCCACAGUACCCUGGGUCCCAUGUCCACCCCUGUCCUGCCCUUCUCUGGGUGAGAGCUGGCCUUCCCCUGCCUCUGCCUGGCUGCAUCCUUGGUCGAUCUCAAGUGCCUUGGCAUGAACUCCACUCUCCUGCAGCCUUUAAUCAGGGAAUGAUGGGGGAUGUGUUCAUACCCCACCCCACCCCUUGGCCGGGUGAUGCUGAAAUGUGGAUUUUUAAUAGUUCCCAGACUUUUCCAGGAGGCUUGGGUUUGGGUGGCCACAGUGGGAGCUGGUGUGAUAUACCUUCGCUGGCCGCCUUUCCUUCCUGUUCUCUGUGCCCCUACUUCCCACUCUAGAACUGCCCUGUUUCUCUGUUUUCGUGAAAGAGCUGGCCCUGUGCUGCCUCCCACUCUCCCAAUGCCCCUGCCUCUCCUGUGAGCCUGCUACUGGUGAGGUCGGUGCUGACCUCUGUGUUGCUGGAUAAUGAGUCAUUUAUCUCUGGAGGAGAGGAAAGGCAGGUCCUCCACAGCCCUGAUAAAAUCUCCAAGUCUUGCAGUUUCAGGUCCUUCUCCUGGGAUGCAAUCCUACUGCCUGCCCAGGUGGCACAGUCCACAUCCCCUCUUCUUGGGAAUAGGGGCAUUGGAAAGUGACAGAAGAUACUGUUCUGGCUGCUGUGUUCACUAAUAUACAAAAUGGUCGAGGAGUCAUGAAUCCUCAAGAAAAUAUGAAAAAGACAAGUGUUUAUAAAGCCAUACCAGCAUCCAAUCAACGUCAGAAGCUUUAAGAGCUGAGAAGUGUCCAAACAUCAAGUGUACUUGAGAAGCGAUUUCCACUGGAUUCCAUUGCUCUCAAGUCGGCCCAGGCCCUGCAGCCUUACUUUUGAGGAUGACUUCUCCAAGAGGUCUGUCUGCCUGUCUGUCUGUUUGGGGACAGAUGAUUGAUGAGGUCAGCAAGCUGAACGUUGUGACCUCUCCAGCCCGAAACCUUUUUCAGACAAACCUGACCCCGUAGGCAUACUCACUUCAUCAGCUCCUGUGUCCCACGUGCCAGCAACAGAAUAAUGUGCCUGAGUAGUGUUCUCUGAGUGACUGAACUUUCCUGCUGUUCAGGCAGUCUAAUGAUGGGUCAGGAGAGCCUAAGAGGUAUUUGAAUUGAGGAGGAUUUUGAUUUCACUAGAAUAAUCAGACUUCAAGAUAUUCACCAUUAACACCAAGUAUGUGCAGCUCUCACUGUGAGUGUCUCUCUUCCUACACAAGUUUAUUGUUAAACUAUAUUUGUCCUUUUUUUUUUUUCCUGGAAAGGCAAGCGAGAUGUCUAGGGGAUUUUAUGUCUGAUAAAUGCUUCUAGUUGAAGAUGUAUUACCAAGAAAUUUAGACUCCCCAGGACUGAGGGGGGUGAUGAGUAUAUUUCUAGAAUGGCUUCACCAUUUGCUGGAAGACAGAAUAUGCUUCAUGGCUAUCUCCUACCAAUUUUUGGCUCCUUACUUCUCCCCAAUGCCCCACCCCUACUCUUUCCAACAUCAGCUAUUUUUAUGUUUUCCCCAAGUCUGAAGCUUCUCGAUAUAUGCAGUUUUGCAGAGACCCACAAUACUGUUUUCUUCUAGAUAGCUGAGUUCUGUGGUUCUAAGAUGAAUAGCUAGUUCUAGCUUUAAUGUGGAAUUGAGAACAUGGUGUUUUGGGUAGGUGAGAGACAGAAAAUCAUGAUAUGUUAGAACUGGAAGCACCGUGUUUCCUAAAUGAGGGAAAGGGGAGAGGAUGUAGGUAUUGGUGAUGAGGAAAUCAGUCAGGAGACAGUUACCAGUGGAUGCGAAGAAGGAUAAGGGCACCAGAAAUGGAGGUGCGACUACAAAGUGGUAAAAGAACAUUGACCACCUGCUCAGGGCCAACGACCUGAAGGCAAGCAGGUCAAAGCAGGGAGUUCCUGGCAGGUGAAAUUUAUGACAAGAUAGAGUGCUUGUUGCAGUGUCUAUUCUUUUCUUUUUUAGAGACAGGGUCUCAUUCUGUCACUCAGUCUGCAGUGCAGUGGCUGCAUCAUGGCUCACUGCAGCCUUGGCCACCUGGGCUCAAGCAGUCCUCACACCUCAGCCUCCCCGGUUGAUGUGACUGCAGGCAUGUGCCACCAUGCCCAGCCUAGUGUCUGUUCUUCAGGUUAGCAAGAGCAGGGUGGGUCUAGGGCUCUGAGCAGGACUGGCUGAUUAAAUGUCUUAUUCACACUGCGGAAGCUUUUCCCUCGCAUGAGAGCAAGGGAUAAGCCCACAUCCUGUGUGGCCUCUGGAUGCCCUUUGAAACUGUAUCUGAGUUCCAGCUUAGGGAGCUAGAGCCACUGGGAGGGCAGAGCAGGCACGGGAGGGUCAGAGUUGCCAGCCUUCCUUUGGUUCCACAGGUUUAAGGGACAGAAUUUGCUUCAGUGGCUUUGUCCCCACCGGGUCUCAUUCCCACAUUCACACCCACAGGGUGACACUCGGAAUGCGUGGAAGGAGGAGCCAGGGUGUUGGGACAGGGCAGGCUGGGGGCAAGGCCAGUUUUCUACCCCAAGGACCUGCGAGGGGGUGGCACGCAUUCAGCCCCUGCCUGUGUCUCUGGUCUGGAAGGAAUUGUUGGCAUUAAAGGAUGUGCCAAGGGCUAGGCACACUCAGGGAGCAGGGAGCAAGUGGGAGGCAUAGGAGAGGAUGCUGCACAGGGUGCUGGGGGCAUGCGCAGCCGCUCACCUGACCUGCUGGACAGGCCUUGGCUCAGGCACUGGCCUGCGACCAGCACAGGCGGAUCAGAUUGGUCUCCCAGUCAGGAGUUAGGAAGUUGAGGAUCAGGAGUUACUGGAUUACCUAGAAUACUCAGACUUAAAAAGCAAGCUGAGAAACUUUCUGUGUGUGCUUAGAUGUGGACAUGUAAAGGCCUUGAUGGAAA